AACGAACGCUGGCGGCAGGCCUAACACAUGCAAGUCGAGCGCCCCGCCAGGGGAGCGGCGGACGGGUGCGUAACGCGUGGGAACGUACCCUUUGCUACGGAAUAGCCUCGGGAAACUGGGAGUAAUACCGUAUGUGUCCUUCGGGAGAAAGAUUUAUCGGCAAGGGAUCGGCCCGCGUUGGAUUAGGUAGUUGGUGGGGUAAUGGCCUACCAAGCCGACGAUCCAUAGCUGGUUUGAGAGGAUGAUCAGCCACACUGGGACUGAGACACGGCCCAGACUCCUACGGGAGGCAGCAGUGGGGAAUCUUAGACAAUGGGCGCAAGCCUGAUCGAGCCAUGCCGCGUGAGCGAUGAAGGCCUUAGGGUUGUAAAGCUCUUUCAGGGGGGAAGAUAAUGACUGUACCCCCAGAAGAAGCCCCGGCUAACUCCGUG
rnacentral:rRNA from 1 species